rnacentral:lncRNA from 1 species
UGGGUCUGGGCCUGCCACAGUUUGACGUCUUGUAGCUCGCUGGAGGACCUGAGAUGAACUAACUGCAUAGUUGGGCCAGAUGGUGUGCGUAAGACUACAAGGCACAAGAUGGUGCUGAAGAUAUUGCUUUCAUCUACUCUGAUGGCGUUGUCAAGAGUUUUCAGAGGUGGCCAUCUUGCGGAAAGGUAUUGUUAGGUUACUAUUUAUUUCUGCAAGGGCUUAUCCCAAUCAUCCUAUGGAUAAAAGCUUUAUAAAUAUCUGGUGAAAACCACCUUCUCAUGAAAACUCUCAAAAUCAUGUGUACAAGUACUAAAAACUUCUAAAAUGUGCAUGUAUGAUGAGGUUAUUACUUAUAAACAGCGGAGUUUUCAUGGAGAGGGUGGUUUCCACUGGGCACUGGAUAUCUUCCUGAGGAUAAAUCAUUAUUGAUAUAUUGAUUAAGCUGAACUAUGUGUAUAUUGAUUGAACCUAUCCCAUGGGGAUGCUAAACAUUUCUGCCAAGAAACCAACCAAACAGAAUAUUGAAAUAGAUGGCACACACAUGAGAAGCUUUGACCAGCAUCUGAUGAUAGUUGGUUUAAAUUGACUAUUACUCAGAAUACUGUUUCUACAUAAAAAUCAUCAAGAUAUACUAUUCUAAUGGUGGGCCAUUAAUUUUCACUGCUUUUGAAUAUAAGGUCUUCUAGUUGAUAAGAGGUUCUGCAGUUUUGGAAGCAUGCCAUGUUUCUGAUUCAUGUUCGGGCACAUGGGCAGUACACAUUAUGCGAUCUACAGUAGACACAAAAACAUACAAGAUAGUUCUAAAACACGAUGAUAAAUUUAUUUUACUUGGAAGGCGCACCUCAUGAACAAGGCCGGUCGCCUUGCGUUCAUGAGGUGUGCCACAAAAACAUACAAGAUAGUUCUAAAACACGAUGAUAAAUUUAUUUUACUUGGAAGGCGCACCUCAUGAACAAGGCCGGUCGCCUUGCGUUCAUGAGGUGUGCCACAAAAACAUACAAGAUAGUUCUAAAACGCGAGGCGGCCGACCUUGAAUUUAAUAUUGUGUCCUCACUGAUACUCCCUCCGUCCCAAAAUUCUUGUCUUAGAUUUGUCUAAAUACGGAUGUAUCAAGUCACGUUUUAGUAUUAGGUACAUCCGUAUCUAGACAAAUCUAAGACAAGAAUUUUGGGACGGAGGGAGUAGUAAUUAUGAGCACCACUGAAUUGACACAUUUUGAUAAUAUUCCAUAUGUUGGUUCUAUCCAUUCUUCAACCCAGUGAAUUAGUUGGCAUUUUUAUUGCUGCUACAUAGGUUCACACCAUAUGGUUAUAACUGAAUGGCCUCAACAUUUACUUAUCUUAGCCAUACGCAUCUCCCUAUGUAGCUUUACUAAUUCAUGCUUUCCUGUCUUCAUGUUAGGUUAUGACAGCACCGUCUAACCAUAUUUUAUUCAAUUUAUAUGUUUCUACUGUUUAAUUUGUCUAAUGUUUGGUAAUGACAAUCAAUGCUAAUCAUGCUCUUUGUGGGUGUUAUGAUGUUUUAAUGUUUGGUAAUGAGGACAUUCUCUAAUGAUAUUCCUGUUUUAAGGGUUUACGCUGUUUUAAGAAUCUUCAGAGGGUACCCUAGCACUUCUUCCUACGACAACUAUGCCAUGCAUGAUCGCUUGUGGAAUAUGUGUCAACCAAGGAGUAUGCUAGACUAGAGGAAAUUACAAUGCUGUGCAAGGUAGAUGAAGAUCUUUGAUACGUAUCAUUAGCUCCAAAGGAGGCUCAUUACAGUGAACCUGUACUUCGUGCAUCCCAAAACCAAUAGUAAAGAAUCAAAUCUCUCUUGCCUGUGGACCUUGUUGGUUGUUUACAACAUGAUGACAAAUUUAUUUUACUUAAUAGAAAGGUUGAAGAAAAUGAUAGUAGCGCAUAAACUUGCCCGGUAAUCUGUUCAAGUCAUUUGUGUCUUUGGGUACUCCCGGUUAGAGUAAUAGAAACACAUAGGGCCUGCCACACUCUAUUGGUGAACAGAUACAUCUUAUGUACCUCAUCUUGACUCCUGAGAACACCAAAAUCAAGUGUCUGCCACUGCCAGAGCUAAGUCAAGUUGCAUAUGAUGAAGGUCAGAUGUCCCAACUGUUUUAGUGAAUCAGCUCACAGGGUGAAGUUCCUCGCUGAUAUAUUGCAUCUUUAACUAUACCUGGAUAGUUUGAACUUCUGCAUGCCAUGUGGAAUUGGGGAAUUAUCAAAUCCCCAAAGAAUGUGCAUGCUCAAGGUUGGUAGUGAUUCAGGUAGUUGCAGAACUGUUGACUUGGUCAAGCUUAGAGGGUUAGAUGUGACCUACGCAUCUCAUGAAUUGAGAAUAUUGCUUGAGUGCAUAUACUUAUAGAAGAUAGCAUCCAGAUCAAAAGGGCAACCUGGUGCAUGUAGCUCCCGCUUGCGCAGGGUCCAGGGAAGGGUCCGACCACUUUGAGAAGCAUCCAGAUCAAAGAUAAAAGAAAAUCAAGCUCAUAAGAUCAAAGACAAAUACUCAUAUAUGCUGAUGACUGUUGAGGCAUCUAUGCUAUGUUAGAUAUUCUUAAACAUCAUAGUGACCACGAGUAACUAGUUAUCAUUGGUCUUUCUGCCCUCGGUUUUCCUUAUUGCAUGGGAAUCGUUACAUACUUAGCUUCCUUUUUACUGUUGAAUGCUUGUGAGAAUUGUAAUGAACCGACUUUCUUCGUCAAUUGCUUUGUCUUGAACAUCUUUUGAUCCAUCACUCGCAGGCAGAAAAUGUGAGAUCAAUGUUUCUUUUACAGAUAUGGUGAUACUGGCUACAGUGGCCGUGGAUCCAGCAUAACAGAGUCUUUCUUAUGUUGGAGAUACUGAAGUUCACAAACAUGGUGUGUUUGGGAACAAUGGGAGAGGAAACUGAAGCCACAAAUUCCCCUUCACUUCAGCAUCUUGCCAUUCUGACAUGCUAGCAAGCCGCAGGUCUUUCAAAAGAUUCAGGCACUGGAAAUCCAUGAGCAAAAAAUAAUUUGUGAACAUCUGCUUAACUCAGCAAGUUUCCCAGCCCUCCAAAUUAUUAAAAUGGAGGGUUUCUGUGGUGGUAAUCAUCUCCUGCAGCUGCUAUUAUUUCAGACAAAUUCCACAGGUUUAGUGUUUACCAGACAUCCAGCAAUGUACUUCAGAGAAAACAAUGCCCUGUUGCAAGUGGCCUUGUAUAAAUAGACAGAGGGAGUAUUUGGCAAUGACUAGUGUUUCUUUCUACUUAAUACAUGUAAUGAAGAAUGCUCCAACUUCUUUAUCUGUUUUAGAGAAAAUCAGCGGACUGGUUUCGAUCCAAAUAGGUCAUGAGCAUGAGACUGAUCUUGUUUGCAUAGAGUAAUGAUUAUGAAGCUGGAUACAUUGGAUAAAGCAAGCAACAAAAUGUAAAUAGUAAUGUAAUUUUUUGAGAAUAAUGUAAUAUUAAU